rnacentral:rRNA from 1 species
UACAGAGACUGCGAGCGUUAUUCGGAUUCACUGGGCGUAAAGGGUGCGCAGGCGGCCGAGUGUGUGAGGCGUGAAAGCCCGGGGCUUAACCCCGGAAUUGCACCUCAAACUACACGGCUAGAGCAUUGGAGAGGGUAGCAGAAUUCAUGGUGUAGCAGUGAAAUGCGUAGAUAUCAAGAGGAACACCUGCGGCGAAGGCGGGUUGCUGGGCCGACACUGACGCU